rnacentral:hammerhead_ribozyme from 1 species
GUCCAGCUGACGAGUCCCAAAUAGGACGAAACAUGCGUCUCGGAU